rnacentral:lncRNA from 1 species
AUGGACAGCCCAGUGACUUUUGGAAACUGGAAAGAGACUGCUUCAGGCUCUACGCUCUGGCGCCCUGUGGCAGGGAUGGAGGAGGAGCAAGCAAGCCAGGAAGCAUGGAGAAGGAGCAGGCACCCGUCUCAGGGAUGUCCCUUGCUUCUCACUAAUUUCCUCCAUGUGCCGUGGUCGUUCCUCCACAUCUGAGGCCAAUUUCUCAGCGUUUGCGCGUUACCUGUCAAGCCCAGGAUUCAAGAAGUGGACCACAGAGAGUGUUCCUCCCAAAGGCAAGGUCUCUGUACUGAUGCAUCCACACUACUUUCCCUGCUCUGGGAAGACAGAGCAGGAACCUGGAUGCUUCUAGAAAUACUGUUGGCUUUAUUCAACUUUUUACUAACAAACAUAGAAACCCUAACACCUGUCAGGCUUCUUACUCAGUGACAGAGGUUUGGAGAUUGGCCACAUGAAAUCUUAAGCUUAGAAAGUUCAUGGUCUUGGGAUGUGGUUAGGGUAUGGAUGAGGAGUGGUAGACAAUGAGCAAUGACAGUACGGGGGAUGGGGUGAGGAAGUCAGGGUGGCCUCCCAGAGUAGGUGACUGUGAGUGGAGAUGCUAGACUCCUGUUUCCUAUGCUUGCCUAUUCUUCUUGAAUUCUUGAGAAAUAGUUACACUAUGAUUGCAUUCUGGUAACUUUAUUAAACAUACCAUACUUACAUAUUUCCUAAACCAAGAAACCAAGCUUUCCUGGGAAUUCAUAGUGGGGGGAAAAAGCAACACUAAUACAUAGUGGCAUAAAUGUACAGAUGUUUUCUGCAGCAUGGUUUAUAACAACAAAAGCCUGGAAAAUGAGAGAAUUCCAAAUUACUUUUAGGAAGUAUUUUGAAACUACUUAAAAUAAAAAAUGAAGAAUGAAUAGAGCUCUCCA